rnacentral:rRNA from 1 species
GACGAACGCUGGCGGCGUGCCUAAUACAUGCAAGUCGAGCGAUGAAGAUUGGUGCUUGCACCAAUUUGAAGAGCAGCGAACGGGUGAGUAACGCGUGGGGAAUCUGCCUUUGAGCGGGGGACAACAUUUGGAAACGAAUGCUAAUACCGCAUAACAACUUUAAACAUAAGUUUUAAGUUUGAAAGAUGCAAUUGCAUCACUCAAAGAUGAUCCCGCGUUGUAUUAGCUAGUUGGUGAGGUAAAGGCUCACCAAGGCGAUGAUACAUAGCCGACCUGAGAGGGUGAUCAGCCACAUUGGGACUGAGACACGGCCCAAACUCCUACGGGAGGCAGCAAGAGGGAAACUUCGGCAAGGGGCGGAAGUCUGACCGAGAAACGCCGCGGGAGUGAAGAAGGUUGUCGGGUCGGAAAACUCUGUUGGUAGGGAAGAACGUUGGUGAGAGUGGAAAGCUCAUCAAGUGACGGUAACUACCCAGAAAGGGACGGCUAACUACGUG